CUCCCCAGAGCCCAGGCCUCCUGCCUCCAGUCCCCAGCCCACAACCCAGGAUUAGGCAGAGCCAGCUGCUUUCCCGUGGCUGCCCUGACUCCUUACAGGGAUCACUGAGAUUCUGAUGAACAGACCUUCUGCCCGCAAUGCCUUGGGGAAUGUCUUCGUCAGUGAGGUAAGAAAGGGCGGGCGCCAGGGUGGGCUGGGGAUGGGCUGGCACUAUCUAACUGGGUGUCCUCUGUAGCUGCUGGAAACUCUGGCCCAGCUGCGGGAGGACCAGCAAGUGCGUGUCUUGCUCUUCAGAAGUGGAGUGAAGGGCGUGUUCUGUGCAGGUGCAGACCUGAAGGAGCGGGAACAGAUGAGUGAAGCAGAGGUGGGGGUUUUUGUCCAGCGACUCCGGGGCCUGAUGAAUGACAUCGGUGAGGAUCUGGUUGUGGGGUGGAGGAGG
rnacentral:sRNA from 1 species